rnacentral:rRNA from 1 species
AUUGAACGCUGGCGGCAGGCUUAACACAUGCAAGUCGAGCGGAGAUGAGGUGCUUGCACCUUAUCUUAGCGGCGGACGGGUGAGUAAUGCUUAGGAAUCUGCCUAUUAGUGGGGGACAACAUUCCGAAAGGAAUGCUAAUACCGCAUACGUCCUACGGGAGAAAGCAGGGGAUCUUCGGACCUUGCGCUAAUAGAUGAGCCUAAGUCGGAUUAGCUAGUUGGUGGGGUAAAGGCCUACCAAGGCGACGAUCUGUAGCGGGUCUGAGAGGAUGAUCCGCCACACUGGGACUGAGACACGGCCCAGACUCCUACGGGAGGCAGCAGUGGGGAAUAUUGGACAAUGGGGGGAACCCUGAUCCAGCCAUGCCGCGUGUGUGAAGAAGGCCUUAUGGUUGUAAAGCACUUUAAGCGAGGAGGAGGCCACUGAGACUAAUACUCUUGGAUAGUGGACGUUACUCGCAGGAUAAGCACCGGCUAACUCUGUGCCAGCCGCCGCCGUAAUAC